rnacentral:misc_RNA from 1 species
GAUGAAGAACGCAGCGAAAUGCGAUAAGUAGUGUGAAUUGCAGAAUUCAGUGAAUCAUCGAAUCUUUGAACGCACAUUGCGCCCGCCAGUAUUCUGGCGGGCAUGCCUGUUCGAGCGUCAUUACAACCCUCAGGCCCCCGGGCCUGGCGUUGGGGAUCGGCGGAGCCCCCCGUGGGCACACGCCGUCCCCCAAAUGCAGUGGCGGUCCCGCCGCAGCUUCCAUCGCGUAGUAGCUAACACCUCGCGACUGGAGAGCGGCGCGGCCACGCCGUAAAACACCCAACUCUUCUGAAGUUGACCUCGAAUCAGGUAGGAAUACCUGCUGAACUUAAGCAUAUCAAUAAGCGGAGGA